CUCGAAAUCGGUAGACGCUACGGACUUAAAAUCCGUCGACUUUAUAAGUCGUGAGGGUUCAAGUCCCUCUAUCCCCA
rnacentral:tRNA from 2 species